rnacentral:rRNA from 1 species
GAACGCUAGCUACAGGCUUAACACAUGCAAGUCGAGGGGCAUCAUGAGGUAGCAAUACCUUGAUGGCGACCGGCGCACGGGUGAGUAACGCGUAUGCAACCUGCCCGAUACCGGGGUAUAGCCCAUGGAAACGUGGAUUAACACCCCAUAGUACUUUUAUCCUGCAUGGGAUGUGAGUUAAAUGUUCAAGGUAUCGGAUGGGCAUGCGUCCUAUUAGUUAGUUGGCGGGGUAACAGCCCACCAAGACGAUGAUAGGUAGGGGUUCUGAGAGGAAGGUCCCCCACAUUGGAACUGAGACACGGUCCAAACUCCUACGGGAGGCAGCAGUGAGGAAUAUUGGUCAAUGGACGUAAGUCUGAACCAGCCAAGUCGCGUGAGGGAAGACUGCCCUAUGGGUUGUAAACCUCUUUUAUAAGGGAAGAAUAAGUUCUACGUGUAGAAUGAUGCCUGUACCUUAUGAAUAAGCAUCGGCUAACUCCGUGCCAGCAGCCGCGGUAAUACGGAGGAUGCGAGCGUUAUCCGGAUUUAUUGGGUUUAAAGGGUGCGUAGGCGGUUUAUUAAGUUAGUGGUUAAAUAUUUGAGCUAAACUCAAUUGUGCCAUUAAUACUGGUAAACUGGAGUACAGACGAGGUAGGCGGAAUAAGUUAAGUAGCGGUGAAAUGCAUAGAUAUAACUUAGAACUCCGAUAGCGAAGGCAGCUUACCAGACUGUAACUGACGCUGAUGCACGAGAGCGUGGGUAGCGAACAGGAUUAGAUACCCUGGUAGUCCACGCCGUAAACGAUGCUCACUGGUUCUGUGCGAUAUAUUGUACGGGAUUAAGCGAAAGUAUUAAGUGAGCCACCUGGGGAGUACGUCGGCAACGAUGAAACUCAAAGGAAUUGACGGGGGCCCGCACAAGCGGAGGAACAUGUGGUUUAAUUCGAUGAUACGCGAGGAACCUUACCUGGGUUUAAAUGGGAAAUGCCGUAUUUGGAAACAGAUAUUCUCUUCGGAGCGUUUUUCAAGGUGCUGCAUGGUUGUCGUCAGCUCGUGCCGUG